UCCCUCCGUUUCUUUUCUUUUCUUUCUUUUUCGGCCGAUUUGCUCAGUUUCUGUCGAUUUGCGUCACUGGUCAGUUUUCCUAACCUGAUAGAAUAAUAUCCGUUUCUCAAGUUUGAUUGCUAUUUUUGCUUGUAGCAUUUUUUAUUUUUUAUUUUUUUUAGUUCUGACCUUUUCUUUAGAUAAAAUUUCUUUUGUGUUUGAUACGUGUGAUUUUUUUUUUUGAUAAUUAGCUUGGAGAAGAGCUUGGAGAUAUUUAUGAUAUAGAAUUGCUUCGUGUUUUCCUCCAAGGUUUGUCUUGCUACAGACCUGCUUCUUUUUCUGAGUUCAUUUGGUUUGAUGUUGAGCAAUUAGACUAUGUAUUCCCCUCAUUCUAGAUUCCAU
rnacentral:lncRNA from 1 species